CAAAAAUCCUCACAGCUGCCUUCCGAGACCACCACACGAGCGCAAAAAGUAGACACUAGUGCUCCAAGAUUGUACACAGCCUCACUCUCUCACCCCCAAUCAAACUUCUUCUGUGUCUGAAAUUCCGAGUCUCUUCUACCAUCUCUAAUCCGCCACCACCACCGUCUCAGCCACCCAAAACCACCACCCACCACUACCUUUACGAGAUUCUAAAAAUCUUUAGCCCAUACAAUCAACUUUUUUUUUUUGAACAAAUGUUGUUGAAUAAUUUUUCAUAUAUUAAAACAGGAAAAAGAGGAAAAUUUACUCACUUACAAAAAUUCAUCACCAACGCUAGAACAAGUCUAUAUUUAAUAUUUUUCAAGAUUAGGGAAAGAGAAAGUCUUGAUUUUUCUUGAAAGUUUCUGCAAAAAGUUUCUUUCUUUUAGCUUUCUAAAAGCCAAGUUGUAUCUAAUCACAUGGAACCACCAGAGAAUAGUAACGCCAGCGGUGGUGCGGUGGGUUUUGAAGAUGCUCAGAAGAUAAUUCUCCGGUGGGAUUCUACUGCUUCAGAGGAAGCCAGGGAGAGGAUG
rnacentral:misc_RNA from 1 species